CACCAUUAGCAUACAUUAUUAUGACGUCUUUGGCUACUAAGUAAAUGGAGAACUUCUGAGCCUCUCCAACCAAGUGCAGAUGGGGAUCCACCACCUGUGUCCUGUAGUGCACUCUCACCAGUCCUAACCAGCAGGAGGGAGGACAUGAGCCAAGUAACAGAGCCUCUUAUAAGAAGCCAUCUUCCAAGGCACCAGGAACCAGCUAUUAUGGGGGAAAGAACAAGAAGAAAGAGGUCAUCAGAUCAGAAGCAGGGAGGCCACCCUCCCACUGAUCAGCUAUGUGAUCCUGGGGUUUUAUCCCAACUUGGGACAAAACUGGCCUCUGCCAUUUAUGAUCUUUGGAGUCUGAAAAAUGUUACAGCCUCUCUAAGCCUUGGUUUGCACAUCUCUGCAAGUGAAGAUAGCAUCACCAUCUCCAGCGUUGGUUGUGAAAUCAAGAGCAGAAUGUAGAAUGCCGAGCACACAUCCUCCGGAGAGGGAUGGAAAUUGGAGCAGCGUUGGCUCUGCCACAUUCUCGCUGAACCUCAGCCGCCUCCACAGAAGACAAAAGCAGAAUUUCCACACUCCAGGCUGUGUCUCAGAGACCAUUUAGAACUUAUCUCAUGCUGCCCUCAGUCUUAGUACCAAUCUGUCUAUGUUCAGCAGGAUAACUCAUCUGAGUGUGAGGACCUCUAGAGAAAAUAAAAUGACAGUUCGUCUCUCUCACAUACACACACAAAGCCCCUAUCUUAUACCAUAGACUUCAAAACCCAGAUCUGUAGUGUGGAAACUUCUUCCUCUUACUAAAGACAAGAGAAUUUGAGACAAAGUUUCGCCAUCAUGAGAACAUUAACUGAAAAGCAAUUAUCCAAAUCAGUGGCUCUGGAGAAAGGCAUACAGAAUUAAUUAGAAUCUCCUCUUCAAGUUAAAGAGACAGAGAGCCGCCCCCGGAGCUGUAGGAGCGUGGGCUCUGGGCUCAGUGGCCCCGUCUCUAAUCCCAGGCUCACGUUCACUAGCGGUGAGGGAUCGACCAAGUUGCUUAACCUCUUUCCC
rnacentral:lncRNA from 1 species